UUUGUUAUAUUGGUGGCCUUGUUUUGAUGAGUGGCAUCUAAAUUGAUUAAGAAUAUAUGCCAAAUCAUUUUGUCUUUCUUAAAAUUCUGGAGUUAAAUUAAUUUGUUAGAUAAACAUAUUAGUAUUUUUGUUCAUUCAACAGAAAAAAUUAUAUUUUAUAAGAUAAAAAUGAAACAUACCUGAGGGUACUGCAUUCAAUUCCGCCUUUAGAAUGUCUUUUGAAAAAGUAGAUAGAAUUAAAACAUCAGCAACCAACACUCAAGGAAUCCUCAACCUCAUAAACACAUGUUCUUAACAACCUCAACAACCAUGUUCAAUUUCAACAACACCAUAAUCAUAGAAAACAUGGUUAACUCAUGAUUCAUGGGAUUUUUUUUGUGAUUGAGAAUGUAGGUUAAGUUGAUAUUUGACAUAUUAUAAUUUAUAAUUUUUUUUUAAAUAUCAAAUUUGAUGAUUUUUUUGAACCGUAAAGGUUAUAUAAAAAUCGGCUCCGACAAUUUGGUUCGAAGGUUUUUUGGAAGGUUCAAUCCGUUUUUUUUUUUGUUUUUUACUCCGAUUUUUUGACCCAUUAACGAUUUUGAACCCGUUUGACCAAACCAUAUUUAUCUCCGGUUCCUGGUCGCAACCGUUUGAACGAACUGGUUUUUAACAACACUGUUUACAAUGAAAAUUUGAAUUAAAACAAAAGAAAAGAUGUUUAAAAUGCAUCUUUUUAAAUUUAAAAAUAUUUUUUAAUAUUUUUUUGUCUAUCACUCUUACUUAUCCCCUUUGAUUUUUCAUUUUUUUUCUUUGUAAUAUCCCAUAUCCCUAGCAUCUCGCAAUUAGUUCUAGUUGAGAUCAAUUGAGUUCCGGUUACUCUCUCUUUUGUUAGUUGUAUCAAUUGGAGCUCUUAUGUGCUCUAAAUGUUGUCAAUUGGGACCAAUAGAGUAAGCCAGUGAACUCCUGAAGAUAACUGAUUAUGGGAGGUAUAUUAAUAAAAGAGACAAAUCGAAUAUAAAUAAGUACAAAGAAGGACAUUUUUGGUAACAUUAAUAAUUGGUCAAUGGUACUGAAAGAUGAAAUAUCAAUUGAGAUAUUUUAUGUUACUACCUAAUAUUAAAUAUAUAUAAAGUAUAUGUUAUAUUUUGUGUGGUUGAAGAGAAAGAGAAAGAAAAGGAUAAGAAGAGUAGGUAGUAAGUAGAGAAGAGUUAUCAGAGAAAGAAAGAAGAGAAAGAGGGAGAGUAGAGAGAGGAAAAGAGAAGAAAAGAAGAGGGAGAAAGAGGAAGAAGGCUUGAGAGAAUAAGGGAAAGCUGCUCAUCAUCACCAUUUCUACUCGCCUGCAUCCUCAGCGCCCAACUUCACUUCUUUACUAGGUGAGUUCUUAGAUAGAUUAGGCCUUUAGGUGGAAAAUAACGCUAUGUUGGGGGGUUAGGAUUUGGGUGUGAUUGUCGUAAAAAUGACUUGUUGUUUCAUAUUCUCAUCAUGCAUGUGUUGAUACAUGUGUUGUUUGUUUAAAUUGUGAUACUUUGGGUGUUUAAUUUGAUGUGUUUAAUUUUGAUGUGUUUUAUUGUUGAAGAUAUGGAGGUUAUCACACUGAAAUCAUAACAUAUAAGUUUAUUCAUGAAUAUUCCCAUUAAUCAUGAGUUAACACCAUGUUUCUAUGAUUAUGGUGUUGUUGAAAUUGAACAUGGUUGUUGGAGGUUGUUAAGAACCGUUGUUUUUAGAGUUGAGGAUUCCUUGAAGUGUUGGUUGCUGAUGGUUUUAAUUCUAUCUACUUUUUCAAACCAGACAUUCUAAAAGGCGGAAUUGAAUGCAGUACACUCAGGUAUGUCAUUUUUAUCUUAUAAAAUAUAAUUUUUUCUGAAUGAACAAAAAAUACUAUCAUGUUUAUCUAACAAAUUAAUUUUAACUCAGAAUUUUAAGAAAGACAAAAUGAAUUCGGCAUAUAUAUUCUUAAUCAAAUUUAGAUGCCACUUCACAAAACAAGCCAACAAUAUAACCAAAGUGUUUUUUAAUAGUAUGUGUAUUUUGUUCUUCCCCAUUAAAUUUUUAAUAUUGUAUAAAAUGUAUAUACUUAUUAAUUCAUUUUUAUUACUUUUUUCAUGACAUGUGGAACAAAGAGAGUUGGGGGUGGAAGGGGGAAGUCGGUUAUGAUGAUCUUACGACGCACGUCUUUGAGUCUACCGUAGUAAAUUACUGCGGAAAGGUGAUGAUUUAGUAAGUUAUAAAGGAGGUAGUUUUUUAUAGCUAGAUCCUAUUAAAGUUUCAAUUCUUAAUCCAAUUCAUCAACGUUGUAUAUUUAAAAUUAUCCAUAUUUAGUACAUAAUGCAAAUAUAUAUUGUCCUUACUAAGGCUCUGUAAUACAGAGCCUAUUCAAAUUCUUCAAGUUGGGUUGAAAGUUUUUUCAACUCUAUUAAAAAAGUGUGACGUAAAAGUUUCAGAAACAAGUAUAUCCAACUUGGGUUUCCAUGUAACUCAUAUCGCCAUUCGGGUUCAAACAGUGAGUUCAGCAAAACAUAGAAAACGAAUGCUUCUAAAAAAGCUCUAUUGGGCAUUCGUAUUUUAUACGAUUUUAAAUGAUCCCACCGGUUGAUGAAUCCUGAAUAGUUUCAUGGACUUUCCUGUCUAUACGAGGUUGUAUCAAUACCACCAGAGAUAUAUGGUGUAAAAAUAGGAUUUUUUGUGAUUGAGAAGUAGUUAAGUUUUGAUAUGACAUAUUAAAAUUUAAAUAAUUUUUUUUUAAAUUAUCAAUUUGAUGAAUUUUUUUUGAACCGGUACGGUUUUUUAUAAAAAUCGGCUCGACUAUUUGGUUCGAAUGUUUUUGGAAGGUUCAAAUCCGUUUUUUUGUUUUUUUUACUCCGCUUUUUGCCCGCAUUAAGAUUUUAAAGGUGACCAAACGCAGAUUUAAUCUCCGUUCCUGUCUAAACCGGUUGAACGGCUGAUUCGGUCCUGGUUUUAAAACACUGUCAAAAGGGAAACUUUGAAUUUAAAAUUAAAAUUAAGAUGUUAAAUGCAUCUUUCCAUAAUUUAAAAUAUUUUUCUUAUAUUUUUUUGUCUAUCACUCGUUGCUUAUCCCUUUGGAUUUUUCGUUUUUUCUUCUGUAAUAUCCCAUAUUCACACGCUUCGAUUCUGCAUUAGUUUGUCAGUUGAGAUCAAUCGAGUUUCCGGUGUACUCUAUCUGUUGUUAGUUUGUAAGUAAUUGUGAGACUUUCGUGUGUCUAAAUGUUACUCAACUUGCCAUCCAUUGAUAGGCAUGAACUCUGAAGAUGUAAUUAUUAAUAAAAGAGACAAUCGAAUAUAAUAAGUACAAAGAGGACAUUUUGGUACACUUAAUAAUGGUCAAUUGUACUGAAAGAGAAAUAUCAAUUGAGAUAUUUAUGUUACUUACUAAUAAAAUAUAUAUAAAGAAUUAUAUAUUUGUGUGUUGUAAGAGAAGAGAAAAAAGGAUAAGAAGAGAGGUAGUAAGUAAGAAAGAGUUAUCAGAAAGAAAGAAAAGAAGAAAGGGAAAGUAGAAAGAGGAAAAGAGAAGAAAGAAGUAGAGAGAAAGAAGGAACGAAAGGCUUGGAGGAGAAAAGGAAAGCUCAUCAAAUUUUCUACUCAUCAAUCCUCCCAACUUCAUCUUUCUCUACUAGGUGAGUUUCUAAUAGAUUAGCUUUAGGGGAAAAUAACCUAUGUUGGGGUUGGAUUUGUGUGAAUUUGUAUGAACUUGUUGUGUUCAUAUUCCUCAUACCAUGCUAUGUGUUGAUAUCAUUUGUUGUUGUUUUAAUUGUGAUACUGGUGUUUUAAUUUGAUGUGUUAAUUUUGAGUGUUUAAUUUUGAUGUGUUUUUAUUGUUGAAGAUAUGGAGUUAAUCAGCAUGGAAAUCAAUAACAAUAUAAGUUAUUCAUGAAAAUUUCCUUGAAUCAGAAAAAUGGUUACGNUGUUCUACUCCUGACUCCAUGCUAUUGCAGUGAACUCUCUGAAGAUGUUAAUUAUUAAUAAAAGAGACAUACGAAUAUUAAUAAGUACAAAGAGGACAUUUUUGGUAACAUUAAUAAUUGGUCAAUGGUACUGAAGAUGAAAAUAUAUCAAUUGAGAUAUUUUAUGUUAACUACUACUAAUAAUCACUACACAAAUAUACUAUCACCGCUCAACAAGUUCAUAACAAAUUCACACAAAUCCUAACCCCCAAACAUAGGUUAUUUUCCCCCAAAGGCUAAAUCUAUCUAAAAACUCACCUAGUAGAAGAAUAAGAUGAAGUUGGUGAGGAUGAUGAGUUGAAAAUGGUGAUGAUGAGCUUUUCCUUUUCUCCUCCAAGCCUUUCUUCCUUCUUUCCCUCUACUUCUUUCUUCUCUUUUCCUCUUCUCUACUC
rnacentral:lncRNA from 1 species